rnacentral:tRNA from 1 species
UCCUAAGUAGUUAAAAUUAUAAUCUUAAAUUGUAAAUUUAAUGUUGAAUGCUUGGUAUCAUUUUUGGGAA